UGGGGAAUAUUGCACAAUGGGCGCAAGCCUGAUGCAGCGACGCCGCGUGAGGGAUGAAGACCUUCGGGUUGUAAACCUCUUCAGCAGGGAAGAAGCGCAAGUGACGGUACCUGCAGAAGAAGCGCCGGCUAACUACGUGCCAGCAGCCGCGGUAAUACGGAGGAUCCAAGCGUUAUCCGGAUUUAUUGGGUUUAAAGGGUGCGUAGGUGGCUUUUUAAGUCAGGGGUGAAAGACAUCGGCUCAACCGAUGCAGUGCCUUUGAUACUGAAGAGCUUGAAUAGCGUUGAAGAUGGCGGAAUGAGACAAGUAGCGGUGAAAUGCAUAGAUAUGUCUCAGAACACCGAUUGCGAAGGCAGCUGUCUAAGCGUUUAUUGACACUGAUGCACGAAAGCGUGGGGAUCAAACAGGAUUAGAUACCC
rnacentral:rRNA from 1 species